rnacentral:rRNA from 1 species
CGAAUGCUGACAUAAGUAACGAUAAAGCGGGUGAAAAGCCCGCUCGCCGGAAGACCAAGGGUUCCUGUCCAACGUUAAUCGGGGCAGGGUGAGUCGACCCCUAAGGCGAGGCCGAAAGGCGUAGUCGAUGGGAAACAGGUUAAUAUUCCUGUACUUGGUGUUACUGCGAAGGGGGGACGGAGAAGGCUAUGUUGGCCGGGCGACGGUUGUCCCGGUUUAAGCGUGUAGGCUGGUUUUCCAGGCAAAUCCGGAAAAUCAAGGCUGAGGCGUGAUGACGAGGCACUACGGUGCUGAAGCAACAAAUGCCCUGCUUCCAGGAAAAGCCUCUAAGCAUCAGGUAACAUCAAAUCGUACCCCAAACCGACACAGGUGGUCAGGUAGAGAAUACCAAGGCGCUUGAGAGAACUCGGGUGAAGGAACUAGGCAAAAUGGUGCCGUAACUUCGGGAGAAGGCACGCUGAUAUGUAGGUGAAGUCCCUCGCGGAUGGAGCUGAAAUCAGUCGAAGAUACCAGCUGGCUGCAACUGUUUAUUAAAAACACAGCACUGUGCAAACACGAAAGUGGACGUAUACGGUGUGACGCCUGCCCGGUGCCGGAAGGUUAAUUGAUGGGGUCAGCGCAAGCGAAGCUCUUGAUCGAAGCCCCGGUAAACGGCGGCCGUAACUAUAACGGUCCUAAGGUAGCGAAAUUCCUUGUCGGGUAAGUUCCGACCUGCACGAAUGGCGUAAUGAUGGCCAGGCUGUCUCCACCCGAGACUCAGUGAAAUUGAACUCGCUGUGAAGAUGCAGUGUACCCGCGGCAAGACGGAAAGACCCCGUGAACCUUUACUAUAGCUUGACACUGAACAUUGAGCCUUGAUGUGUAGGAUAGGUGGGAGGCUUUGAAGUGUGGACGCCAGUCUGCAUGGAGCCGACCUUGAAAUACCACCCUUUAAUGUUUGAUGUUCUAACGUGGACCCGUGAUCCGGGUUGCGGACAGUGUCUGGUGGGUAGUUUGACUGGGGCGGUCUCCUCCUAAAGAGUAACGGAGGAGCACGAAGGUUGGCUAAUCCUGGUCGGACAUCAGGAGGUUAGUGCAAUGGCAUAAGCCAGCUUGACUGCGAGCGUGACGGCGCGAGCAGGUGCGAAAGCAGGUCAUAGUGAUCCGGUGGUUCUGAAUGGAAGGGCCAUCGCUCAACGGAUAAAAGGUACUCCGGGGAUAACAGGCUGAUACCGCCCAAGAGUUCAUAUCGACGGCGGUGUUUGGCACCUCGAUGUCGGCUCAUCACAUCCUGGGGCUGAAGUAGGUCCCAAGGGUAUGGCUGUUCGCCAUUUAAAGUGGUACGCGAGCUGGGUUUAGAACGUCGUGAGACAGUUCGGUCCCUAUCUGCCGUGGGCGCUGGAGAACUGAGGGGGGCUGCUCCUAGUACGAGAGGACCGGAGUGGACGCAUCACUGGUGUUCGGG